CUGGAUGGCUCAGCGGUUGAGUGUCUGCCUUCGUCUCAGGUCAUGACCUUGGGGUCCUGGGAUUGAGUUCCCCAUUGGGCUCCCUGCAGGGACCCUGCUUCUCCCUCUGUCUGUGUCUCUUAUGAACAAAUAAAUAAAAUCUUAAAAAGAAAAAAAAUAUAUCAGCCCCGGACUGUGAACUUUUAUCGGAACACAAGACUCACCGGUCUCUAACCUUCCUGUGGUGUCAGCCUCUGAACCCCACUAAUGCUUUCAUCUGUUGCUUUGGCUCCUGCUAUGGACGGAAGAUUCAUGUCCCCUCAAAAUUUAGAUGUUGAAAACUAAUCUCCAAUGUGAUGGCAUCUGGAAAUGGGUGUUUAGGAGGUGAUGAGGACAUAAGGGCAGAGCCCUCGUGAAUGGGAUGACUGCCCUUGUAAAGAGACCUCAGAGUGUUUGCUGAACCCUUGAGCCAUACGAGGAUGCAAGCAAGAGACACAGCCAUCUGCAAAUCAGGAAGUGCGUCCCCCCCCCCCCCCCCCGCCCCGCCACACUGAAUCUUCUCUGAUCUUGGACUUCCAGCCUCCAGAGCAGUGAGAAAUAAAUCUCUGUUGUUUAUAAGCCACCCAGUGUGUGGCAUUCCGUUAUGGCAGCCUGAACCGAGGGGCCAGCCCUCGUCCCCACUCACUGAGCUUCAGCUUAUCUUGCCUGAACCCGGCUCUGACCCUCUAUGGUCCUUCUGUUGUUAGCGUCAGCGUCGCCAGGGAUUGUGGCAGGUCCCCAUCUCUGCCACCUUGUAGGUAAAUUUUGUCUCUGCUGUGCGCCUCCUUCCUACUGCCCAGUGGAUUUUGUCUUUGGCUUCUCUUCGCUCUGUCCCAGCCCAUCACUGGGAGAUCUGCUCAGUGACUUGUCUUCCCUGCUCCCUGCCAUGAUCAGCGCUGGUCAACGGGCAUUUGGUAUUAUGAGGUUACUUCCCCAGUUUGCUCGUGUGGUGCCCUCCGUCAGUGGAGACAAGCUUUCCACGAGGAACCAAGAUUUCCACCCUGUGAGCUCUGAGAGGACAGCUGGCCAUCCUCGGGACAGAUGCUUCAAGGAGCCACCAAUCAAGGCUCCAUUUCCUGAACUUUCCUAGGAAGUUGAGCCCUGAGUAGCUGUUCUUGGUAAUAAUAAUAAUAAUAAUUCAUAGCCCAUAGGAAUCUGGGCCAUACAAGCAUUAUUCCACGGGGUCUUUACAAUGUUCCUCUUGGUAUAUCGUGGUGCUUAGUCUACAGGUGAGAUUGAAGGCCCAGGAUGUUGGAGUACCUGCCCGAGAUGAGCUGGGCGGAGUGCGGCAGGGCAGCGCCCGAGCACAGAAUCCUGCUCCCACCAGGGACGUGCAUGCAAACUUCGUAAACCCGUGCAAGGUGGGUGGUGGUUCAAAUCGCAUGUGGGUAUCAUCUCGUAGCCUGUGCACCGUAUGCCCUUGUUGGCUGAAAAAUUCGUUAGCAUGGUUUGUUCCAGGUGACACUCGUACACUUAGGCUUCCAUUUUCAAAGUCAAUCUUACAGAAUUCUGUUUUUAUUCUUUCUCCUGCUCAGUAAAAAAUGAAAGCUGAUCUUUUCCCAGGGGAAAAAAAAAAAAAAGUCACCUGAAAUUCACUCUAGAAAUAUUUGCCUACAGUUGGUAGUUGAGGGUCUGUCGUUCUCUCGCUCUCUACGGCCCCUACUUCUAUUUUCUUGUGUUGAAUUUCCCAGUAGAGACCAGGAGUUUCCUCCUGAAUAUUUCUGCCCAGGGACAUGACUGGGACGGAAAUGGGACGAGAGUGGCCAGUCCGUGGGUAGGCCCGCCCUGUCUCUUUGUUCGAGCCCAGGCCAUCCCCCUCGUCAUUGUAAGUAGGACAGUGGGUGCCUUCGCCUGUCGCCUCAUUCAUGCUGAAUUGGGCAGAACAAAACCGCUGCCUUUGACGGGGACGCGGUGCCUGGACACUGUGUGCUCCCGACUGUGCACAUUUCCAUUUGUUGUGCGUGGAAGUUCCUGCCAAGUCUUUCACACUUGCGGCCAAUUAAACACAAAAUCCUAAUGUUUGUGGCUUCCACUUGCAAUAAUCUGAUUUAUCACAGGCCUCUCCUGACAAGUAUUAGAAUCAAGUCCAAACUGUGUCUUGCCGUCUGACAAGGGGAAUUCCUAAGCCCUUGCUCCUUCUCCUCAGACCACGCUGCCCACCUCUCCAGUCUAGAGGGCUGGGCUGUGGCCUCGACCCGGGCUUUCUCUGCUCAGUUACAGUUUCUCCUCCUUUCCUCCAUGCAGCUCAUCUGUCGAGGGUGGAGAAUGUGUGGAUUCAGCACGAGGUUCCCCUGGAGACACGUGCAUGUAAAAAAAGAAUGACUAUUUGGAUGGAACGAGUCAAGCUGGUGAAGGUGACAUGAGGAUGCUUGAAGGGUUGGCAGGGAGGUGGAGACCCGUGGAGUCUGAGCAGGGGCAGGAAGGCCGGUCAUCCAUGGGACAGCCAGCCAGCUGUGUUCCUCUUCUUUUAAAAUCUGUUGCUUUUCCAAAAAAGAUCUCCUAAUAAGGGGUAAGAAUCCCAAAUGUGAAAAAUGUGAACCCAUAGCAAAAAAUGACCUUUCUUAAAAUUUCCAAAAUAAAGCUUUCCUUCCUCCUCCCCCUCCUCUCUCU
rnacentral:lncRNA from 12 species